UUAGAAAUUGAACAAGGAAUUUAGACUGGAAAUGGAGAUUUUAUUGAGUAAUUCGAAUUGUACAAUCAAAUUCUGUAAUUGAAACUAUUUAUUGAGAAUAAUAGCUUCUACUAAUCCUCCAAUGAAUCCAAGCUUUUACCUGUAGAAUUAAUGGAGGGAAGUUAGAAUAAGAAGAAGAAGAUUGAAGAGAAGAGAGGACGUCAGAAAGAGAAGAGAAUAGAGAGAGAGAGAGAGUAACAGAAUAUACCAGAUGAUAACUGCCCAAUUGGUUAGGCCCAAUUUGGUUAUAAGCUCCUUCAGCUGAUGGCCCAAUUCUGUUAGCUAAAAUCCAAUCUAGGCCCUCCAUUUCUAGAAUGCAUCUCUGUCAUUCAUUCACCCAUGUGCCACUCACGUGCUGAUUUUUAUUAACCCUAUCUAACUUUUCUAAUUUAGUUCUUCAUUUCCAAACUUAGCCGACAUAUAACAAAGCAAGGCCGGAAAGAAACAGUUGAACGUGAUAAUGACGUCAUAUGAUCAUCAACAUAGCCAGAGUCAAAGAUUUGUCUGGAAAAAAGAAGAAGAAGAAAGUCGGAAUCUUGUUACGUAGUAGUGAUCCUGUUUUUGUUCUUGCUCUCUUCUUCAGUAAUUUCUGCCCAAAGAGCAUUUAAAGACAACAACUAACCUUCUAAUUUGAUGAAAAAUCAUCAAAAUCUGUAAUUGAAUCUUGAAAAUGGGAAGGGAAAUGUGUUUUGAGUGUCUUCAGCGUAAAAUUCAAUCAGAUUUCUCAAACCAACUCAUAUUCUGUUAUGGUCUUUCUGAUUCUCCAACUCAUCUUCUAAAAAACUCCAUUUGGUUAAACUGGUUAAUCUAUAAUAGGUUUCUUUUGCUUGGAAGGGAGAGUGUGCACUUCCAAAGACGUGAAGUUUCCGCAGAAGCAAAGAAAAACAACGGUUUGCUGGAGAGAAGAGGAGAGAGAGGAGAGAAAGAAGGAAAAGGGUGUAACUAAAU
rnacentral:lncRNA from 1 species